UACGUAGGGGGCAAGCGUUGUCCGGAUUUAUUGGGCGUAAAGAGCGUGUAGGCGGCCUUGCAAGUCCGUUGUGAAAACUCGAGGCUCAACCUCGAGACGCCGGUGGAAACUGCAAAGCUAGAGUCCGGAAGAGGAGAGUGGAAUUCCUGGUGUAGCGGUGAAAUGCGCAGAUAUCAGGAGGAACACCCGUGGCGAAAGCGGCUCUCUGGGACGGUACUGGCGCUGAGACGCGAAAGCGUGGGGAGCAAACAGG
rnacentral:rRNA from 1 species